rnacentral:lncRNA from 1 species
UCCGUAAUCAUACUUAUGCCAGGUUUAAGGUAAGAAUUGAAUAAAGUUAUUGGAUUGGGAUUGAGCCAUGAUUAAGAUUUCACUAAUUCCAGGCCCAUGGCAAAACCUAUAAGUACAGGUCAAAGGUAAGAGGUAGAUGGUUCAUAUUUACUACGCAUUUACUAUUGUCCCAAACUUACUGUACGGACUAUACACUAACUUGAGCGUCGAAGAACCUUUGACAAGUGCACCUCCGGACGACAUUUGAGGACACUGAAGGAGACUAGUGAGCGAGACCGGACGACAUUGAAGGACACUGAAGGAGACUAGAGAGUGAGACUAGACGGUUCUAAAGGUCAAAUUGUGAAGAUGUUAGUAGUGACUCGACCUCGCAACC